rnacentral:misc_RNA from 1 species
GUUCUGGAUAUGUUGCUCGCAGCACGAGGAAGUGCAGUCCCUUGCAUCUGGUGAUAUAGUUGGUAACAUGUCGUGGAUAUCAAGCCAUCUCAUUGAGCAGGCUUGGAAAGAGAUGGCUCAAACCCUCACAGAAGCUAAUUUCGGUAAUGCCCAGGAAAUUCUUGAGGCAGAUCCUCCUAAAUGGCUGCCUGACAGUGCAUCUUCCACUUGUAUGUUGUGUAAUGUGCGGUUCCACCCUAUCAUGUGCAGCAGGCAUCAUUGUCGAUUUUGUGGAGGAUUAUUUUGCAAUGAAUGUACUAAAGGAAGGAGCUUGCUCCCUGAAAAAUUUCGCACUGGGGAACCACAACGAGUAUGUGAUGUAUGUUUUGUACGUCUCGAGUCUGUGCAGCCAUACCUAAUGGAUCAAGUAAGUCGUGCUGCUCAGUUGCCAACCCAUGACCUCACUGACUUGAGCACACUGAGAUCCUGGGU